rnacentral:lncRNA from 1 species
GUCCUUUAUAAUGCAGUGUGAUCUGUGCUGCAAUAGAGUUUUGGAAGCUAGAAGUUCAAAACGAGGUGUUGGCAGCACCAUGCUCUCUCUGAAGAUGCUAGGAAGAAUCUGCUCCAUGCCUUUCCAUUCGCUCCUGGGGUUUCCUGCAAGCCCUGACAUUCCUUGGCUUGUAGAUACACCACCCCAGUUUCCGCCCCCAUCAUCACAUGGCCUCCUCUCUGUGGGUGCCUCUGCGUUCCCUCUAUUCUUCUUCUAAGGACACCGACACCAGUCAUAGUGGAUUAAGGGUCCACUCCUAACUAAUUACAUCUGCAACCACCCUAUUUCCAAAUAAAGUCACAUUCUAAGAUUCCUAGGGAGAACAUGAAGUUUUG